GCCUUCUUAGCUUAGUCGGUAGAGCAUCCGCUUCGUAAGCGGGAGGUCGUCGGUUCGAUUCCGGCAGAGGGCU
rfam:Eimeria praecox, Houghton, WGS project CBTT01000000 data, contig: Eph_contig168_11